GAUCUCAUCUUCCAAGUUUCUGAAACCCUUAAAGACCCCAAAAAAACCGAUUAAAAAAAAACCGUACACCACCCCGGUCCUCCCCUCACUCUCUCUCUCUCUCUCUCCCCUGCUCUUUCUUCCUUCUUCUCUCUCAUAGCCACUGCACGCCACACCGCCUUCCUCUCACCUACUGCCGCCAUCGCGACGGUCACCUCUUCACUCACGGCGCCACUGCCGCCGGCCCAUUUCCUUCAUUCAACCACCAGCGCACUACUUGCCGGCAAAGCCUCUUCACGGAUAGUCAUCAUGUCGCCACAGCGGUGCCGGUCCCUCGCCCACCAACUGCCACCUCCAUCUUCGCCACCGUGGCAGCCUCCAGCCACGUCACCACUGCCUUGUUCUUCAUCAUAGGAAGAAAUAUUUGGGCAAGUCUUGACAGAAUUGGAUUUUGGACUUCUUUCGGGCUCUCCAAUGGAUAGGAGAGAGCAAUCAGCAGAGAAUUUGGAGUGGCUCGGAAGAGUCUAGACCAAGAUUCUCAACGGUUGACGGAGAAGACCAUGAAGUGAGUAUAUGAAAAAGGGCUUAGUUGAGAUGUCAGGAGAAAGAGAAGGAUAUUCGGGAGAAUAGGUGAGAGAGAAAAGAGGUAUCGGUUUUUCUCUCCAUCAGACAAGUGUCCGUCAAGCUUAAGGGGUUAAGAGGGGCUUAAGAGGGGAGAAGCACGGUUAUCUCCUUCUAUAUUAGAUUUUUUCUUUCAUAUAUUUCUCAUGGAUCAAGAUCCCUUGAACAAUAUAAAGUAAGGUUGGUCGCAAAGGAAUACAUACAAACAUAUGAAGUGGACUAUCAAGGAACUUUUGCAUCGGUAGCAAUGAUGAAUAUAGUGAGGAUUUUAUUGUCUUUAGCAACUCAUUUUGAUUGGGAUUUACUACAAGUUGAUGUAAAGAAUGCCUUUCUCCAUGUUGAAAUUGAUGAAGAAAUCUAUAUGGAAGUUUUUCCCAAUUUUGGGGAAAGUUUAGAUAAGAAUAAAAUGUGUAAAUUGAAGACAUUGUGUCAAAUUAUUAGGAGUUUGUUGUUAUACUUUUUGUUAUUUGUUUCCAAUAAAUCUGAACUAAUUACUGUCCAAUCUCAAAUAUCUAGGUAUUUUGAUAGUAAGGUCCUAAAGUUGUGCUUGU